rnacentral:misc_RNA from 1 species
UUAUGGAAGGGAUUUUCAAGUUACAUGGCAUGCCUCUCACAAUUACCUCUGAUAGGGAUCCAAUUUUCCUUAGUAACUUUUGGAAAGAGUUAUUUGCUUUUCAAGGUGUUGGUUUGCAAUACUCAACAGCAUACCAUCUGCAGACUGAUGGCCUAUCCGAAGUUAUAAAUCGGUGCUUGGAAACAUAUCUUAGACGUGCAGUGGGAGACUCCCCUAUUUCCUGGGUCAAUUGGUUAUCACUUGCUGAGUAUUGGUAUAACACAUCAUACCAUACUACUAUUCACAUAUCCCCAUUUGAAGCAUUCUAUGGUUUUCCACCUCCUGUGCAUAUUCCAUACUUCCCUGAAGAUUCUUCUAUUGCUGUUGUUGAUAUCAAAUUGAGAGACUGUGAAAAUUCAAUCAAAUUGCUUAAGCAUCAUUUGGCCAGAGCAGCCAAUAGAAUGAAACAACAGGCAGAUAGGCACAGAAGUGACAGAGAGUUUGUUAUUGGUGACACGGUCUUACUAAAGUUGCAGAGCUACUGCCAGCAUUUUAUGCAUAAGGGCAAUGCUAAGUUUCAACCAAAGUAUUUCGGGCCCUUUCCAGUAAUUGAUAAGAUAGGAAAAGUGGCUUACAAACUUCAAUUGCCUGCUGAUGCACUUAUUCAUAAUGUCUUUCACGUGUCUCAGCUUAAGCCAACUUCAUCAACCAUUAAUUUUUCUUCCACUAUUCCUGCCGUAUUUUCCACGAAUCCACUUCAGCCACAAGCCAUACUUGAUAGACGUUUGGUUAAACGUCAAAAUCCCGCUGCCACUAAACUUCUCAUCCACUGGAAAGAUCAUUCUCCUUCAGAUGCCUCAUGGAAAUUUGCUGAUGAUUUACGUAUUCGUUUUCCUGGAUUCCUUGAGGGCAAGGGUGAUUAAGGGGGGGAGGGAGUAUUGAUAUGGAUUUAAGGAUGUGAGAAGUUAAAGAAAGAGUGUGAA